ACCUGAUUCUUCGGAUGAGAGUUCGGUGACUGAGUGGCGGACGGGUGAGUAACGCGUGGGUAACCUGCCCCGUACAGGGGGAUAACAGCUGGAAACGGCUGCUAAUACCGCAUAAGCGCACGAGGAGACAUCUCCUUGUGUGAAAAACUCCGGUGGUACAGGAUGGGCCCGCGUCUGAUUAGCUGGUUGGCAGGGUAACGGCCUACCAAGGCAACGAUCAGUAGCCGGUCUGAGAGGAUGAAACGGCCACAUUGGAAACUGAGACACGGUCCAAACUCCUACGGGAGGCAGCAGUGGGGAAUAUUGCACAAUGGGGGAAAACCCUGAUGCAGCAACGCCGCGUGAGUGAAGAAGUAUUUCGGUAUGUAAAGCUCUAUCAGCAGGGAAGAUAAUGACGGUACCUGACUAAGAAGCUCCGGCUAAAUACGUGCCAGCAGCCGCGGUAAUACGUAUGGAGCAAGCGUUAUCCGGAUUUACUGGGUGUAAAGGGUGCGUAGGUGGCAGUGCAAGUCAGAUGUGAAAGGCCGGGGCUCAACCCCGGAGCUGCAUUUGAAACUGCAUAGCUAGAGUACAGGAGAGGCAGGCGGAAUUCCUAGUGUAGCGGUGAAAUGCGUAGAUAUUAGGAGGAACACCAGUGGCGAAGGCGGCCUGCUGGACUGUUU
rnacentral:rRNA from 1 species